AUGACGUCCUCUUGCAUACCCACGGGGCUGCGGCUGGACCUGGACAUGGUGAAGGCGGCGGCGUCGCCGGGGGCGCACGCGCACUCGUCGCCGCUGCGGCCGGCGCACUCCUCGCCGUCCUCCACGCUCUCGGAGGCCUCCAACGCGUCCUCCUCGGCCACGUCCGUGUCGCUCAAGCGCGCGCGGGCGCCGCGGAAGCGCCCCAACCAGGCCUACAACGAGGCCGCCGCGCUGCUCGCCUCCAUCCACCCCUCCGUCUUCCCCGUCAAGAAGAGCCCCAAGACGGCCACGGCGCCGCGCCCGCCGCUCUCGGGCCUCGCCGUGGCCUUCGGCGCCGCCUCCCCGUCCUCCUCCGACCUCCUCCCGCCGCUCCCCGUCCUGUCCGACGCCGCAUUCCUCCUCCGCGACCACGCGGCCUCGCCCUCGCCGCCGCCGCCGCCGCACAGCCCGUCCACCGACGCCUGCAAGAACUGCUCGUCCCCGACGCCCGUCAGCAGCGCGUUCCGGGAGUUCCGCGACCCGGCGCCGUCGCCCGCCAGCCCCGACACCGCCACCGACGAGCCCGGCGAGCUCGACUUCGACGACGACGGCUUCGACGCCGAGUCCAUCCUCGACGUCGACGAGGCCGCGGCCGGCGGCGCCGCCGAGGGCAUCGACGGCAUCAUGGGCAGCCUCACCAUGGAGGCCAACACGGCCACCGCCACGUCCGACGACUCCAUCCUGUCCAGCUCCGGCAUACACCCCUACCUCAGGAGCCUCAUGGUGGUCGGUCUCGCUGGCCGCUUCGAGCUCGGCCUCGGCUCCCGGCAAAGCACCCGACCCAACCUCAACCGUGCCCUCAAGCGGCGGGACGACGACGGCGCCUGGUGGAUGUGGCCUGCCGUGCCGGUGAAGGACAUCACGGUCACACCACCGACGCCACCGCCGAAAGAACCGGCAGCGCCAGUGUCCAACACCGCAAUGCCGCCGCCGGCGUCGGCAGCACCAGAGAAGAAGAAGAGCAAGAAGAAGAAGAAGGUGAAGAUGGAGAAGUUGAUGGCCAAGGAGGAGGAGCUGGCCAAUGGGAAAUGCGAGGAGGGAGCCGAUGGAACAGUGGACGCGGCGGACGGCAAUGGAGACGAUGACAGCGCACCGACAAAGGCGCCGAAGACCGGCCUGGGGCUGAAGCUGGACACCGACGACGUGCUCAAGGAGUGGUCCGGCAAAGGGUCUAUGUUCGCCGAGGGCGGCGCGCCGGAUUCGUCUGAGUCCGCCGCCGAAGUGCGGGCCAAACUUGCAGACAUCGACUUGUUUCCUGAGAACGGGUCUGGUGGCAUCAGGGAAGCAAGGGUGAUGAGGUACAAGGAGAAGCGGCGCAACCGGCUGUUCUCGAAGAAGAUCCGGUACCAGGUGCGGAAGGUGAACGCCGACUGUCGGCCUCGGAUGAAGGGAAGGUUUGUUAGGAGCCCGUCUCUUCUGCAGCAAGCCCUGGAGGAAGAGAGCUAG
rnacentral:rRNA from 1 species